GGGGUUGUAGCACAGUGGCUAGGGUGUCAAAUUCACGAGUUGAAGGUCGAGGGUUCGAUUCCCUAUUCCA
rfam:Macrostomum lignano uti_cns_0002787, whole genome shotgun sequence.